AUACCCCUGCCGCGUUCGUGAUUGAAAUAUGUCCCUUGACCCAACAGUUAAACUAAGGGAGCUUUCACUGGAUUCGGUGUGCAGGUUCCGCUCGCACGGAAAAGCCUAAAGAUUCUAUAAGGCGCCCACCUUGAGCGGUUCGGUUCAAGGUUUUUUUCAACACGACGUUCGGCGGGGGUAUU
rnacentral:other from 1 species